rnacentral:rRNA from 1 species
AGAGUUUGAUCAUGGCUCAGAUUGAACGCUGGCGGCAGGCCUAACACAUGCAAGUCGAGCGGAUGACAGGAGCUUGCUCCUGAAUUCAGCGGCGGACGGGUGAGUAAUGCCUAGGAAUCUGCCUGGUAGUGGGGGACAACGUUUCGAAAGGAACGCUAAUACCGCAUACGUCCUACGGGAGAAAGCAGGGGACCUUCGGGCCUUGCGCUAUCAGAUGAGCCUAGGUCGGAUUAGCUAGUUGGUGAGGUAAUGGCUCACCAAGGCGACGAUCCGUAACUGGUCUGAGGGGAUGAUCAGUCACACUGGAACUGAGACACGGUCCAGACUCCUACGGGAGGCAGCAGUGGGGAAUAUUGGACAAUGGGCGAAAGCCUGAUCCAGCCAUGCCGCGUGUGUGAAGAAGGUCUUCGGAUUGUAAAGCACUUUAAGUUGGGAGGAAGGGCAUUAACCUAAUACGUUAGUGUUUUGACGUUACCGACAGAAUAAGCACCGGCUAACUCUGUGCCAGCAGCCGCGGUAAU